GGUGCAGUGUGUAUGUAUGUGGGGCAGUUUGUGCAUGAGGGGUACAGUGUGUGGGGGACAGGUUGUAUGAGAGGGGGCAGUGUGUGUGUGGAGGCAGUGUGUGUGUGAGGGGAAGUGUGUGUGGGGGCAGUGUACGAGGGAUACAGUGUGUGUGAGGGGUACAGUUUGUGUGUAUGGAGGAAGCAGUGAGUGUGUAUGGGGGUUAGUGUAUGUAUGGGGGGA